rnacentral:lncRNA from 1 species
GCUGUGGUGGGGAGUGAGAGGAGCAAUGCGGUGGUGGUGGUGGAAGAACCGGAUGCUCUGCCUCAGCUAUAUGGGGGAGAGGUAUCACUCGCUCACUCCCACACUCACUCACACUCUAUCCCUUGCUCACUCACUGAAGCUUGGUGCCUUUCCUCUCUGCAGCUCGCUUUCUCCACUCCACCACCUUCUCUUCCUCCUUCCUCGCCCCUUUAUGCUUUCCCCCACCUUUGACGUGAGAGGAGAUCCUCCGCCUCCUCCUCCUCCCACCCCGCCCUCCCUCCCUCCCGCUCAGCUCAGGGGCGGGCCCAGCAGCGGGCCAAGCGGGCUCCUUUCCGUUAGGGUCGCUUCUUCGCCCUCACCUUCUGCUCUUCCUCUUUUCACUCUCUCCUCCAUGCGAUGCGCUCCCCAGCUGCCUGGUUCCUGCUACCUCCUGCUCAGCAAGAAAAGGCAAGUGCGUGUGAGCGACUGAGCGUGAGAGAGCGGCUCCAACGGGAAGAAAGCAAAAGCAGGGGAAGCUAGCUAGGCCAGCCGUAGCCCGCUUUGGGGCGGCCAGAGCAACUUCUCAGAGGCGGAAAUGCUAAAGAAAUCGAAGGUGCUGGAUACAAGGACGACAUGUACAAGACCUCGCUUUAGCCCAAACGAUCAUACGCACAUGCACGCAGCAGGGGGCGGGCAGACGAGACACCACCAAAGCGGCAUGGACGAGAGCUUGAUGAAUAUCACCAAAGCAAGCACCAGAGCUGGCUGUGAACUUCGCCGGCCUCACCUGCCUGCCCGCUCUGCUCCUCGUCUUCCUCCGC